UCUCCCACGUUUUUCAUGGGAUUAGACAAUCCUUCACCCCGUCACCACUGUCAUGGUUCAGAGGCUCAUCAUCCCCUGCAUGCAUCAGUGCCUCGGCCCCCUAACGGGUCUCCCCACUGCUGAGCUCUUCCUCUCCGCUCCAUCCUUCACACAGCAGGCAGAGUGAUCUUUCAGAAACAUGCAUAUGAUCCUGUCAAGCCUUCGCUGAAAAGCCUUCAGUGUCAAUGUGCUUUCUAACCGCAGUUGUUCUCCGCCUCUGGUGUCAUGACACACUUGUUUGUCAUAUCAAUUCUGAGGCAGAUUCAUCCAUCCACCCAUUCAACAACUAUUUAUUGAACGCCUACUCUGUGUCAGUUAUUGUUGUAGGUGUUUGGGGGUACACCAGUAAACAAACAAACAAAAAUCUCUGCAUAUUGCCAGAAACUUGAUACUAGCAAGAGUUAAAGCCCUCAAGAUCGUGAAUAAUUUGACUAUUAUGGUGGAUGCAU
rnacentral:lncRNA from 10 species